rnacentral:rRNA from 1 species
AUGGCAUCCACCUCGCCGGAACCCGCAGCGACCGAGACCGGCGACUCUGUCAAAAUCCGCCGCCUAGAGAUCGCCGACCGCGAGAGGGGCUUCCUAUCCCUGCUCUCCCAGCUCUCCUCCUGCCCGGACCUCACCGAGUCCGAGUUCGCCGCGUGCUUCGCCGACCUCGCGGCCCUCGGCGACGACCACGUCAUCCUCGUGGCCGAGGACCCCGCCGCGGCUCCGGAGCGGCGGAUCCUCUCCACGGGGUGCCUCUUCGUGGAGCGCAAGUUCCUCCGCGGCGGCGGCAAGGUGGGGCACGUGGAGGACGUUGUGGUCGACGCCGCCGCGCGCGGCCGGGGGCUCGGGCUCCGCGUCGUGCGCCGCCUCGUGGAGAUCGCGAAGGAGGCCGGCUGCUACAAGGUCAUCCUGGACUGCACCCCGGAGCUGCGCGCCUACUACGCCAAAUGCGGCUUCGUGGAGAAGGGGGUUCAGAUGGCCGUGUACUUCUGA